GACGUAGGGCGCGAGCGUUGUCCGGAUUUAUUGGGCGUAAAGAGCUCGUAGGCGGCUUGUUGCGUCGACUGUGAAAGCCCCCGGCUCAACUGGGGAGGGUCACGCGAUACUGAUCGACUGGAAGGCAGGAGAGGGUAGUGGAAUUCCCGGUGUAGUGGUGAAAUGCGUAGAUAUCGGGAGGAACACCAGUGGCGAAGGCGACUACCUGGCCUGUUCUUGACGCUGAGGCGCGAAAGCUAGGGGAGCAAACGGG
rnacentral:rRNA from 1 species